GUCACUCGGUGUUCUCACCGAAAGCACGUAAUCGCCGGUGUAACUCAUGUUGGCUGGGGGGCCUCCCCGGCGCGCGGCAAAGCUGGGCCGCGCCCCG
rfam:Pteropus vampyrus cont1.99869, whole genome shotgun sequence.